rnacentral:rRNA from 1 species
GACGAACCGUCCAAACGUUAUUCGGAAUUACUGGGCUUAAAGGGUGCGUAGGCGGCCGUUCAAGUCGGGUGUGAAAUCCCUCAGCUCAACUGAGGAACUGCGCCCGAUACUGUGCGGCUUGAGGCAGGCAGAGGUGAGCGGAACUUGCGGUGGAGCGGUGAAAUGCGUUGAUAUCGCAAGGAACACCAGUAGCGAAGGCGGCUCACUGGGCCUUCCCUGACGCUGAGGCACGAAAGCUAGGGUAGCGAAGAGGAUUAGAUACCCUCGUAGUCCUAGCUGUAAACGUUGAGCACUGGGUCGGAGAACCCUCCAUAGUUUUCCGGUCGUAGCGAAAGUGUUAAGUGCUCCGCCUGGGGAGUAUGGUCGCAAGGCUGAA